GUGACAGCAGCCGCGGUAAGACGAGGUGCACAAACGUUAUUCGGAUUUACUGGGCUUAAAGCGUGCGUAGGCGGCCUGGCAAGUUGGGUGUGAAAUCCCUCGGCUCAACCGAGGAAUUGCGCCCAAAACUGCUGGGCUGGAGUGAGACAGAGGUGAGCGGAACUGAUGGUGGAGCGGUGAAAUGCGUUGAUAUCAUCAGGAACACCGGUGGCGAAGGCGGCUCACUGGGUCUCUACUGACGCUGAGGCACGAAAGCGUGGGUAGCAAACAGGAUUAGAAACCCUGGUAGUCC
rnacentral:rRNA from 1 species